AUUUUUCGCUGCGAAUGAUUUUUAGCGAGUAGCGAAUAAUUCGUCACGAAUAGUUUGUGAGCGUCACAUCUGUAUGGUUGCGUGUCAACAAUAGAAAAUCUUGAAAUCUUUGUAAUGGACGACGACUCGGUUAUAAACUGGACUUGGUAAACCACCAACUGCAGUGGUUAUUGCAUAUGUACAAUAUGUACAAUAAGCAAAUUAUUAUUAUAUUGUACAGAAAAGGAAAGCUGCUGCAGUUGCAGCUACACUUUUACAUUUGAGAAAAAGUGGAAAAAAAAGAUAUUGUAAAAAGAAAUAUUGGAUAGCACCCAUUUUUCAAGAAAGGAAAGUGCAUGGAUUCUUUCAUGCUGUGCUACCUAAACUCGUUUUAGAAGAUUUGAGAUUUAAUAAUUACAUACGCAUGUCUGCAACUCAAUUUGAAAAGUUAACAUUCUUAGUUGGAGCAGACAUUCGCUCCUUGCGAAUAUUCGCUACAAGCUGAAACUUUUCAGCGAACAGCGAUUACUCGCUGGCGAACAGCGAAUGAUCACGUGACCAUCAUUCGCGGCGAUUAUUUCGCUGCAUGAGGGUGCCGUUACAUGGAGCGUAACUUGCGUAAGCGUAACCUGCGUAACCUAGUGAGUAGCUAGAAUAGGCACACUGCGUAUUCUAGUAAAUUACUAGAAUGUACGCUAUUCUGAAAAUUCCAUUUUACAUGGCGCGUACUUUGCGUUAAAUGCGCAUAAAGCGUAACAAACCUGACCAAUAACAGAUCAGGACUUUUGUUGUACAAUACAACAGAAAUAAAUCGAUUGGUUGUUAUUAUUUAAGCGUAUUGCUAAAUACGCGUCAUGUGAAAUAGAUACUUUGAUGUAAGAAUGUGUUGAAGCGUAAUAUAUGUGUGUAAUGUAUGUACGAGUAUGCGUGAAAUAACCUAAAUAAAGUAUACGGAGUGGUCGACUGGUUGACGACGCGUGUCUAGCACAAAAAACCUGGAAUCUCUUAAACAUGGAUUCUAAUCUUGUAUUAGCGGUUCUUGCCAACAAAUUAUACUUAUUGUUACGAUAUGGUUUUCAUCGAUGCUGAUGUGGUCUUCUCCUUCAACGUACUGCUUGAAGCACUUAUGAUCAAUAAAAUUUGUGGUGAAGCUAAAGAGCCACCCACAAUAUCCACAUUUAUGCUGUAUUUUAAAAAGGAAAUACAUAAGUGAAAACGUAUAAGCUGCAGUAAGCUGUUGAAAAUAGUCCAGACAUGCAAAUGAAUAUACCAUAGUUAUCGGACAUAAAUUGAAAUUCUUUUGUCAUACUAUGCAACCGAUGUACUGAUUUAUAUCCAAGUAAUUAAAUGCAUUAUUUAAA